rnacentral:rRNA from 1 species
UAACACGUAGGUAACCUGCCCAUGUGCCCGGGAUAACUUCUGGAAACGGGAUGCUAAAACCGGAUAGGUAGCAGACAAGCAUUUGACUGCUAUUAAAGUGGCUAAGGCCAUGAACAUGGAUGGACCUGCGGUGCAUUAGCUAGUUGGUGAGGUAACGGCCCACCAAGGCGACGAUGCAUAGCCGGCCUGAGAGGGCGGACGGCCACAUUGGGACUGAGACACGGCCCAAACUCCUACGGGAGGCAGCAUG